rnacentral:rRNA from 1 species
UACGUAGGGUGCGAGCGUUGUCCGGAAUUACUGGGCGUAAAGAGCUCGUAGGUGGUUUGUCGCGUUGUCCGUGAAAACUCACAGCUCAACUGUGGGCGUGCGGGCGAUACGGGCAGACUGGAGUACUGCAGGGGAGACUGGAAUUCCUGGUGUAGCGGUGGAAUGCGCAGAUAUCAGGAGGAACACCGGUGGCGAAGGCGGGUCUCUGGACAGUUCCUGACGCUGAGGCACGAAGGUCAGGGGAGCAAACGGG